rnacentral:lncRNA from 1 species
AGCAAAUCGAUAUGGACAUGAUUUUAUUCUGCACAUGACAUUGUUCUUCAUUUGAUGCAACAAACAUUUAUUAGGCAUUUACUCUGCCCUUAGCGCUGAGUUAGGAAGGGAUCCAGGGACAAAAGCACAGACCUUGACUUCAGCUGGCUCACAGCCGGGUAAGGAAGACGCCCCAGAGGAUAAAUCCCAACUCCAUGGGCUCAGGGGGCUCCCAGGGGGAGCUGAGGGGGCCUCUGUUUUGGUGAGAAGGUGUGGUUGGUCAGCAGAGUCUGGUGCAUGGGCCACGGACAUACACCCAGACAGACAAAUGAAAGAAAGGCUUCUCUCAGGACCCAGAGGGAAGCUGUGGAAAUAAACGUAAGAGACAAGGGGACCUUGAACUCCAGAGCGCCCACACCACGUCCCCGACUGCAUCCUUACCUCCCUCCUCAGUCAGCUUCUCUGUCCCUCACCUGCUGAUACGUAGGUCUCUAGAACUUUCCAGCUCAGCUUCUGUCUUCACGUGGUUCCUUUUCUCUAGCAGAGAGAGAAGGUGAUCCACCCACUAGAUUUGCAUGACCUCAGGGGUCCACUUGGCUGAGGCCAGCCACCAGGGUGCUGAGGAAAGUACUUUGGACUUUAAAAGCAGAUUGCUUUUAGAAAAGAGGAAUAGGGGAGUGGUCACUAACUAGGUCUCGGUGACACUGGUUUCUAGCUCCAAAUUGGCUCCUAAGCCAUGAAGUAUCCAGGAGGAGCGCUCUUCCCUCCCAUCUCAGGAGCCAAAACAGAGAGUCACACUCUGCGACAAAAUACAUGGAGAAUGGGGAAGCCGCUGUCUGAUUUCUUUUCAUCUUCUCGAUGGUGGGAGGAUGCCAACAGAGCCCUGCAGGGCUGUGUGCCGGCACUGUGCUGAGCUCCCCUCCACUGUCACUCCUGGGCACCGGGAUCAUCACUCCAUCUCAGGACCUCCUCAGAGGAGGAAGCCGCCGUGAGGGCCUUGGGACAUGCAGCGGUGGCUUGAAGGCCAUCCGCCACCGAGCUGACGGAGGACACAGCGGCCCCUUCAGAAGGAAGACAGAAGACAGCGUCCACGGGGUGCUGAGGUUGGGUGUCGGGGCCAGCGGCAGGAAGCUGAGCGACGCCGCAUGUGGGAGAAUGGGACACCUGUGGCCGCCCCUCGCCGGUCGGACUUGA